GGAAAUUUGGGUUUGUCUUGAUAUAGUUAACGAGAAAGGAGGAUUAUGGAGUUGCUGUGGUUUAUCAAGAAACAGCAGUGAAGUGUAGGACUGUACGUGAGGUAUUUUGGUAAAGUUAAGAGGAAGUUGCAAUUGAGCUUUGAGGGCUCAAAGUAAAAUGGCUUACCAGAGGAAGGGAUCUGAUCUGCAGCCGCAGAGGCGUAUUCUGCGGACACAGACUGCUGGUAAUUUAGGGGAGUCAAUGAUGGACAGUGAAGUAGUACCAUCAUCUCUAAGUGAAAUUGCACCCAUUCUUCGUGUUGCCAAUGAGGUCGAGCCCAGCAAUCCCAGGGUAGCUUAUCUAUGUCGAUUCUAUGCCUUUGAAAAAGCUCACAGGUUAGAUCCAACAUCAAGUGGACGUGGAGUUCGCCAGUUCAAAACUUCCCUUCUUCAACGGUUAGAAAAGGAAAAUGAGACGACCCUAGCUGGAAG
rnacentral:misc_RNA from 1 species